AAAGUCGAUCCCAAUUCCAUUGAACAAGUUUCUCCUGCACCGACGGACACUUCAAGCACCAAAGCUGCUGAACAAUGCAAGUGCUCGUGUAAUGACGUCAUCUGGGCAGCUGUAGUUGGAAUUCUUGUGUUUAUAAUCAUUUGCCUGAUUCUUUACAUCGUUUGGCUACACAAGAAAGGCACAGCUGGAAAAAAGAGGUAGGUUGCUUUACACUUGUGAGACGAAAAACUGGCUCACCGCAG